rnacentral:lncRNA from 1 species
GUCACGGGUCAGGAGGGCCAAGAAGCAGUGCGUGCGCCUUUCUCCGCUUCGGGCCUCGAUUCGUCGCAGGGAGAGGGAGGAGCAGACCCUAGGCACGCCGUGAUAGGACGUUGCCAAGCAAAAGUAAAUGAUGCCCGAGUCCGCAAGAGGAAAGGGGGAGUAGUGAUCAUUCCUACUCAGGCAGAAGCACUUGAUCCCAGAGUCACCAAAGGCUAUUAAGCUAGGGAGAGGCAGGAGUAAAGGAGCAACGUCGAGUCUGAUGAAGGGAGAAGACUUGGAAGGUAGAAUAUCGGUGCUGGAAUAGAGAAGCCCCUAAGCCAAGCUUUCUCGUUUUACAGCUAGCAUUUCUAAUGGAAUAGUGAAUAACAGUGGUGAUGAUGGACAUCCAUUUUUCACCCCUGAGCUGAUUGGAAAGGCUUCUAGUUUAUAUUCAUUACAGGUAAUGCUUGUUGAUAGUUUUAAAUAAAUACUACUUAUCAUUUAAGGAAAGCUCCAUUUGUUUUUAAUAGGAAUGAGUAUUGUAUAUUGUCAAAAACUUUUCCACAUCUAUUGAGAUAAUCACAUAAUUUUUGUCCUUUUUGUUAUUGGUAUGGUCACUUACGCUGAUAGUUUUCCUAACAUUGAACCAACCCUGCAUUCCUAGUAUACAAUCCCAUCUAGUCAUAAUGUCCUUGGCCAAUUAUAUUUUGAUACUCUUUGUGAUAGUUGAGGAUUCAUAUCCAAAAUUUCUUGUUUCUCCAGGAUUUUUUCUCUCUCAUCUUCUGAUUUUCCCACCAGGAAUAGGGAAGAAUAUAAGCACCAGCUUCCAGGUCAUGUGACCAACAAGACAGCCAACUAGACAUUUUCUCCAUUCUUCACUAAAUCUCACAAAGUGGGGUGGAGUUUGGGAGUGAGGUUCUGGAAUUUUGUGUCUGAGAUAAAACAAUUACACUGAAUCCACAGGACAAGAGAGCAAGAAGCCCAACAAAGGCUUGGGAAUGAAUACUAGAAAAUUCUAAUCCUUGAAAUGCUCAGAUAAGAAUAUAAUUCAAGAAAACUGUUCACAUCUUCUGAAUACAGAAAAUAAAGCAACUGAAAGAAUCUAUAGAGCUUCUUCA